rnacentral:tRNA from 2 species
GGGCGCAUAGCUCAGCUGGGAGAGCAUCUGCCUUACAAGCAGGGGGUCACAGGUUCGAGUCCUGUUGUGCCCACCA